ensembl:lncRNA
GAACAGCAGUGAAGCCACCAGAUCAGCACUGUUCUCCACAUCAUCAUGGGAGUCAUGACUGUGUCUGUUUUCUGCAUCCUCCUCACCUUCCUGGUGACUGAGAGUUUUGCAGUUCCAGGCCGGAAGGAGUGUAAUUAUGGGUUUUCUCGACCAAACCCCUCCUGGAAGUCAUGCUACCUUUUGGACCAAAAGUUAAGAUCAUGGUCUGAUGCAAAGGAGCUAUGCCUUCAAAAAGGUGGAACCCUAGCUUCUAUCAAAAACAAUGAACAGUUACAAUAUGCAUAUGAGAUGAUUCCAGACGGAUAUUUCUGGGUUGACGGGAACUAUGUGUCUGGAUUUCCCCAGAAUAACUGGUUGCCGGGUUCAAAGCCAGGUGGGACAAAUGCCGACUGCUUGACAUUGGUGAAAUUCCCUGGUUAGUAUCAGAAACAUAUUCUUGCUUAAAUAACAUUAAGUCAUAAGAGCUGGAGACUCACAAAAACAUUCUUCUCAACAGCGGGAAGAGGCUUUAGUGAUAUUGCCUGUUCCGAAAAAAUUGACUCUGCCUACGCUCUCUGUGAGUCCUAUGCUACCUACUGAAGUGUCCACUCAGAGAAUACAAAGGGAUGUUCUUUUUGUACUAUUGCACACACUAUUUAGACUUUACUUUAAGUGAAAGACACAGAGAAAAUUAUAAGGUAUAUUAUGGCUACCUAGAGCAUACCUACAUUUAUUCAGGUGUGACCUUUUAUUAAAUAGUUUCUUAUUUUGUAAUGGAAUUGUAAUAGUGUUAUGGAAGCUUUUUAAAGGCCCUGUGAAGUCUAAUGUUCUUUGUUUUUUUUGUUUUUUGUAAUAUUUCUACACUAUGAAGUGGAAACAACACACUGAAAUUGUGACCAUAAUUAUUAUUCCCUUUUUUUGUAAGAGCUGUAUAGAAUGUCAAGGAUUUAUUAGCCGUAUAGUGAAUAAAAAAUAUUACAAAAAACAUGUUUUCUUUAGA